GCCAGCGUGGCGCAGUGGCUUGAGUGUUGGACUGCGACUCUGGAGACCAGGGUUUGAUUACCAGCUUGGUCA
rnacentral:tRNA from 1 species